rnacentral:misc_RNA from 1 species
AAAUAAAAGGUUGAUUCAGAUAUCACUUAUCGUCCUGUCGGACUGAAAAAUAUAUUCCGCACGUACUUUACGAUUUUUUACUAUUUAUAUCUAACGUUAUUCUCCUGUUUGUACAGUUGUAACGAUAACUAAAUCGUAAUAGCUAUGUAGUGUAAUACGUGGAACACACGAAACGCAGUUGACUAUCCCUCGUAGACAAUUCUCGUGCCAGAGGACUAGCAACAAUCUAGGACUAAUUAGAAUUCAGAUGAAACGGCCGAUUCUAACGACGACGGUCAACUACAAAAGACCAUACUGCUCUGCAACGAUCCUAAGGCGACGUUGGGUAAUCGAACGAAACGAGAACUCAACGUCUCAGACUACUCUAACCUUGACGAAGGUCUCUCUUCCUCGAACUUACCAGGAUAAUAUGAGUUUCUGGAUUACGAUGUUUGCCAGACUGAAGUAUAUAUAAUACG